UGGUCUUGACAUCCACGGAAGUUUUCAGAGAUGAGAAUGUGCCUUCGGGAACCGUGAGACAGGUGCUGCAUGGCUGUCGUCAGCUCGUGUUGUGAAAUGUUGGGUUAAGUCCCGCAACGAGCGCAACCCUUAUCCUUUGUUGCCAGCGGUCCGGCCGGGAACUCAAAGGAGACUGCCAGUGAUAAACUGGAGGAAGGUGGGGAUGACGUCAAGUCAUCAUGGCCCUUACGACCAGGGCUACACACGUGCUACAAUGGCGCAUACAAAGAGAAGCGACCUCGCGAGAGCAAGCGGACCUCAUAAAGUGCGUCGUAGUCCGGAUUGGAGUCUGCAACUCGACUCCAUGAAGUCGGAAUCGCUAGUAAUCGUGGAUCAGAAUGCCACGGUGAAUACGUUCCCGGGCCUUGUACACACCGCCCGUCACACCAUGGGAGUGGGUUGCAAAAGAAGUAGGUAGCUUAACCUUCGGGAGGGCGCUUACCACUUUGUGAUUCAUGACUGGGGUGAAGUCGUAACAAGGUAACCGUAGGGGAACCUGCGGUUGGAUCACCUCCUU
rnacentral:rRNA from 1 species